AUUGAACGCUGGCGGUAGGCCUAACACAUGCAAGUCGAACGCGAAAGUCCUUCGGGAUGAGUAGAGUGGCGGACGGGUGAGUAACGCGUAGGAAUCUACCUUUUGAUUCGGAAUAACAUCGGGAAACUGGUGCUAAUACCGGAUAAGCCCUUCGGGGGAAAGAUUUAUCGUCAAAAGAUGAGCCCGCGUUGGAUUAGCUAGAUGGUGAGGUAACGGCUCACCAAGGCGACGAUCCAUAGCUGGUCUAAGAGGAUGAUCAGCCACACUGGGACUGAGACACGGCCCAGACUCCUACGGGAGGCAGCAGUGGGGAAUAUUGGACAAUGGGGGCAACCCUGAUCCAGCAACGCCGCGUGAGUGAUGAAGGUCUUCGGAUUGUAAAGCUCUUUUGGCAGGGACGAUGAUGACGGUACCUGCAGAAUAAGCUCCGGCUAACUUCGUGCCAGCCGCCGCCGUAACAC
rnacentral:rRNA from 1 species